ACCACGAUAGCUCAGCUGGUAGAGCAUCUGCUCGGCUUGCGGAGGGUAGCCGGUGUGAUUCCGGUUUGCGGCA
rnacentral:tRNA from 1 species